AGCUUUGCGCAGUGGCAGUAUCAGACCCAGUGAGGUUUAUCCGAGGCACGAUUAUUGUUAAUUGAAAAAAACCUAGUGUUGUUUACUUAGCACAAGCUUUAUUUUCCCGCAGUAAUAUGCACAGUUCCAUUAGAAUAAUAUGUUACUAUUUUUAAAUCAAUUCGAAUAUG
rnacentral:snRNA from 1 species